UUGAUUUUUGAUGAAGUGAUGCAAACUCCAACAUUAAAUCUACACACACAAAAAGUUGCAUCUACCAAAUUUUUCUAUUUUUCUUGAUAAACAAGUUGCGUCCAUAUCUCCAUUUCCACAAUCAGCAUCACCUCUUUCCUCGAACACCUACUCUAAUGUCAGCGACUUACACGCAGCGCCAAGGUAAUUACCUUCACUUUUACGAGGAAAGAGAGCGAGAGAAAGAGAGAUUGUAGAUCUGCAGCACAACACGAGAUUCAAGCAUAUCUGCAGGCGGAGAAGCUAGG
rnacentral:lncRNA from 1 species